rnacentral:lncRNA from 1 species
GUUUUAUUGGAAAAGUAGAAUGAAAAGAUUAUGAUUUGCAUUCUAGCAAAAUUCUAACAUUAUAACAAGCUAGGUAGAUGAGAUACGUACUCCGUCUUGUAAAUCCUGACUGUCUUGUAAGGACUCCCUUACAGGCUCAGGAACAAGCUGAGGCAGAACUGCUGGAGCAUGUCAGGGCAGACUGGCAGCUUGCUGUAAUUUAGACCGGAUCUUUUGAAUAGUUUAAGACUGGAAGGCUACAUAGUUGCUUCAAAACCCGUAUAAUGCUUCAGUCCUUGGGCUGUGAGUUCUGUGUUGUGACUCCAGCAUUUUACACUCUGGGCACAGGAAUCUCUGAAACAAAAAGAAAGAAUAUCUGAUGAAAGCAAGAAAAAUGAAAGUCUAGAGCAUCCAAACAGUGCCCAUCUGAGUUCUCCCACCGCAGAAAGAACUAGAAGAGAGUUCUUGAGGAACAGAGGGAUCAUCAAAGAUUCAGAAUGGUUCUACAGGGUGAGUGACUCAGGGCGCAGAACUGCUGUGGUCAUUCUUUCCUGCCUCUACCUGCACUGUACUGGC